GUACCCUUAGCUCAGUCGGUUAGAGCAGACGGCUCAUAACCGUCCGGUCGUAGGUUCGAGUCCUACAGGGUACA
rnacentral:tRNA from 1 species